AUACGGAGGAUCCGAGCGUUAUCCGGAUUUAUUGGGUUUAAAGGGAGCGUAGGUGGAUUGUUAAGUCAGUUGUGAAAGUUUGCGGCUCAACCGUAAAAUUGCAGUUGAAACUGGCAGUCUUGAGUACAGUAGAGGUGGGCGGAAUUCGUGGUGUAGCGGUGAAAUGCUUAGAUAUCACGAAGAACUCCGAUUGCGAAGGCAGCUCACUGGACUGCAACUGACACUGAGGCUCGAAAGUGUGGGUAUCAAACAGGAUUAGAUACCCUGGUAGUCCACACAGUAAACGAUGAAUACUCGCUGUUUGCGAUAUACAGCAAGCGGCCAAGCGAAAGCAUUAAGUAUUCCACCUGGGGAGUACGCCGGCAACGGUGAAACUCAAAUGAAUUGACGGGG
rnacentral:rRNA from 1 species